UGAACGCUGGCGGCAGGCCUAACACAUGCAAGUCGAGCGGUAGAGAGAAGCUUGCUUCUCUUGAGAGCGGCGGACGGGUGAGUAAUGCCUAGGAAUCUGCCUGGUAGUGGGGGAUAACGUUCGGAAACGGACGCUAAUACCGCAUACGUCCUACGGGAGAAAGCAGGGGACCUUCGGGCCUUGCGCUAUCAGAUGAGCCUAGGUCGGAUUAGCUAGUUGGUGAGGUAAUGGCUCACCAAGGCGACGAUCCGUAACUGGUCUGAGAGGAUGAUCAGCCACAUCGGGACUGAGACACGGCCCGAACUCCUACGGGAGGCAGCAGUGGGGAAUAUUGGACAAUGGGGGAAACCCUGAUCCAGCCAUGCCGCGUGUGUGAAGAAGGUCUUCGGAUUGUAAAGCACUUUAAGUUGGGAGGAAGGGCAGUUACCUAAUACGUGAUUGUUUUGACGUUACCGACAGAAUAAGCACCGGCUAACUCU
rnacentral:rRNA from 1 species